UAAUUUAAAUGUUUUACAUUGUUGAUAGCUUGUAAAAGCUCAAUCUGAUAGUUUCGAAUAGCAACCCAAUGUGAUUGAAGUAUACAACAUGAAGCGUAUGAGUAAUAUGACCAGAUCAUCACCUUCAGCAAUAAGAAGGCCAUGAAAGACUCGAUCAAAGGCAUGAACGGCCAGGACGUUGACGACUGCAACAUCAUCGUCAACCAGGCGGGAAUUAUAGAGGAAGAUCUGAUGUACUUGCUGGUGGAUCUCAACUACACCAAAGAUCACGAUCGCCCUUGAACAAAAC